UGAAGUUACAAACGGAACAGAUGAAAAAAAAAUUACAAAACGCAAUAAAGCAGAAGUGAGUAUAUUGCCACCAAGUUUUAAUUGUUUUACAAAUUAAGAUCUGUUCUAGCCCGUAAGUGCUGAAAGUAAGGAGGAACCUAAGGCAGAGAAAACUAAGGGUAAAACUGCCAAGAAGGCAGACAGUGGAAAUAAAGAAGAAACCCAAGUGGAAGAAGCGAAAAAACCUCAAACACGCACAGGUCUUGCUACUAAGAGAGAGUUUGUACAAAGUACAAAGGGGCCUAAAAAUUCGACAGUAACUAAUUGGGAAAAUAUAAAUUUCAAAUGCACUACGAAAUCCCCGAAAGGAAAAGCUCCCAACUUUCAUAUCACUACGUGGAAUGUAGACGGAUUAAGAAGCUGGUUAAAGAAGGGAUGCCUUGAUAUCUUGAAGUAUGACAAACCAGAUAUACUUUGUAUUCAAGAGACUAAGUGCGCUGUAUAUAAAUUACCAGAAGAAGUCAAGACUAUAGAAGGUUACGAAGGCUGCUGACUUUUCCGAUUUGUGAAUUUUUAGAAGACAAUAAAAGUUUAGGAACAAUUGAAUUUAGUAUGAUUUUUGUGAAAUCUCGUAAAAUACUUGUUGAAACAAUAAAAAAGGCAAUAAUUAUUUAUGUUGACCUAAACCACAGUUGUCCAACUUUUUUUCUAGUUUUUAGAACGUGUUUACACCAAGGAUUAUACUAACCGCUUGAAAAAAGGCGAAAUAUUGUCAUAAUCAAAUAAAUUCAGUGGUUUUCCGCUACUUUUAGCCACAUUUCGCGAACUUUUUAGUACAAAAUUUUUGAACUAAUUUAAUAAUUUUUCUCCUCAAUCUGAGUUAUAUAUUAUUCGUCAAUAAUUUGUUGAUCCGAAUUGUUUUGGAACAACAGGUCUUCUAAGUAGAUUUUUGACUUAUGUUCAGAUUUUUCUUAAUUUUUAGAAGGCGCUUAUACUAAGGAUUAAGUAAAAGUCCUUGGCCUUCAUUUUUGACAUAUGUUCAGAUUUUUCUUAAUUUUUAGAAUGCCCUUAUACUAAGGAUUAAGUAAAAGUCCGUGGCCUUCUUACUCGAAAAUACAAAAACCCUUCAUUUUAAACAUUAAUUUUAUUUUUGCUUACGUUGCGCAUUAGAUUUAUAUUUUAAUUUAUAAAAAAAAUAAAUAAACAAAAAAUAACAAUAAAAAACAGAGUUGAUUUAACAUUGUGUCAAUUCGUAAUAAAAUACAGCCACAUUUUUUGGUUCUUCGAGCCGGAUAUCUUACGAUUUGUCAUUGAAAUUGACAUUUGUCAUUGACAAUGCUUUGUUUAUGAUUAACUGUGGACUGUAUUUUAUGAUGAAUUGAUGCAUUGUUCAAUCAAACUAUUUUUUUUUUAACUGAUAAUGUUACUACAAGAUGGUAUCAUUUUAUAAAUGAAAAUAUAAGUCGAGUGAGCAACACAUUUUUGAGGAAACUCUUCCAAAUACUGGCGUUUUUGCCUGAUAAACUUGAUAGAACGUUCGAAAAAAAUUAUUCACCUUUAAACACAAAAAAAGGCAAACAUAACACAAUUUUCGAAUACUUUUCGGUGUAUUUUUGCCGAUAUUUUUCAAAACAUUUGCCUGACAGGGCCAAAAACAUGCUAAAUCCCUUGUAAAAAGGUAAAAUGAUGCCAUGAUCAUUUGAUCAAACAAAUUUAGUUGUUUUUUGUCAGUUUUAGCAAAAUCUCGCGGUUUUUUUUAAUAAAAACGUCUUUAUUUUUCGCUUAAGGAAAGAGAAAAAAGUAUUCUAUUUUUGAAUUAAUGUAAUAAUAAUUUUUCGCCUCAUUCUGAUUGUAUGCUUCACAAUUUUUAUUUAAAGUAUUUUUCCUAGCUCUUACUUAAAUAUUUUGAACAAUCUUGAACAACCUUCUCACGGGUUGAUGCAACGUUUUUUACAGUAAUUUGUUUCAAAAUUUCAAAUAUCUCCUCCAAAUUUUAAUUUAAAGGCUUACGCGUAUUUGAAUCGACCAAGUCUCAAAUAUUUUAUUUAAAAGCUUUUGUAUGAGAGAUUUAUCGAAGAUGUGACGUAAAGAAUAAUGUAUUUGGUACAUUUCUCUUAAAUUAGUUUGUAUGUUACUAUCGUCUUAAGUUAACCAAAGGCAUUGUUUUUGUUUUUUAAAUAAAAGUUUGAUGUGUCGGGUUUGUAUCGAAUUUAUAUUCAUUAUUUUCACACCAACGAUCGAACAGUAAGUAAUUCAUUCGCAUUUAUUAACAGGUCGAAAUUUAGUCACCUUGCCAAAACGUUUAGAUUGGAACGAACAAUUCGAGAAGUUUAUUAAAAAUUUGGACUCCCAAAAACCAGUCAUAAUUUGUGGGGAUAUGAACGUGGCACACAAAGAGAUUGACUUGGCUAAUCCCAAAACCAACACCAAUAGUGCUGGGUUUUCAGUGGAGGAACGUGACGGCAUGACUGCUUUUCUUGGAAACGGUUAUGUUGAUAUUUAUCGCCACUUAUAUCCCGAGAAGGAAAAAGCUUACACUUUCUGGAUCUACAUGAGAAAUGCCAGACCUAACAACGUUGGAUGGCGCUUGGAUUAUUUCUUAGUCUCCCAAAGAUUUGUGGACAACGUUUGCGAUAACAUAAUACAUAGUGAUGUUAUGGGGUCAGACCAUUGCCCCCUUUCACUCCACAUCCAGAUUUAAGUGUUUGGGCCAACUCUCUGUCUUGUAGUGCCCCAACUUCUUUCAAUAAUUGUUUCUUCUCUUCAAAAUAGUUUUUGAACCACUCGAUAUGUUCCCGUUUGGCGUCAACUGUCAAGUAUGGAUUUUUCGAAAGUCCGACACAGACCAACUCCAUGAAAUGCCUCAAGGGCCCCUUUUGAGGACACCAAGGCUCUAAAUACUUCUCAAGAAACACGUGCUCGGUAAAGUAAACUUUCUUUUCCUCAUCAAGCCCUAAAAUUAUAAAUAUGACACGAUACUUAACAAAUUAGGCGCAACCUUGUUCGUUAUCAAUGGGAAAUUUCCAUAUUUUCCCCUGUUCGGUCCACAAGAUCAUCUGUUGGAAAUAAUUGCUAGGAGGGUGAGUAACAGCCAGCUUUAAAUCCCUCUGGUAUAACUCGUUCCAAGUUUUGUUUUCAACGCCCUAAACACUAAAUUAGACGCUUUGCCCUCUUCAGACGUCUUUAAAAGCUUCAUCAAUAAUUCUGUCUCGGUUUGCUUCACAUCUCCUCCCAACGUCUCUGCUACGUCCUUUACAACUCUGGUCAUUUGUGUCUCUGCAACAAAAUUGUUUUUGCAACAAACCAGAAGUUUUUAAUUCUGUUCACCACUAAGUUUUUUCAAAACAGCAUACUCAGAUUGAUUUCUUAUAGAAACUUCUCUUAUUUUUUUCUUUUUGAAUUCAAAUUGAAAUAUUCAAAUAUUUGAUCUUCAUGCGCCUUUUAUACUUUGUUGACAACUUUAUUGAAGAGGAUGUUAAUAAUUACUUUUUCUGUUUGUGCUAAUGCGACAUUCUCGUUUCUAUUUUUUCGACCAAACCCGGAGCCGCUCCGGGCAACGGUUCCGGCUACAGAGGCGAUCAAAGUUUUUCACUAAAAAAAUUCAUAAAAAAAAAACUAAAAGUCGUAGAGCAUUGCGGUUUGUUCGAUUGAAUUCUACGGCUCAUUUUACAUAUUAUAUCGAUUUUUCACAAGAAUUAGAAAUUUAAAAUUUUUUGCCUAAAUUUAGGGUGGCCAUUUGUCUUAGUGAAAAAUUUUAUUCAUUAAAAAAAUUCAUAACUCGAAUAAAAGUCGUAGAGCAGUGCGGUUUGUUCCGUUGGAUUCAGCGGCUUUUUUUCUCUAUUAUACUAAUUUUUCACGCAAUUUAAAAUUUUCAAUUUUUUUGCUCAAAUUUCACCUUCAAAGAGGUGAAAAAAAAUAUUUUUUUUAAACUCACUCCAGUAGAUUUUUAUGGACUCUACAUGUCUUAACAACCCACAAAAGUUGUUAGAAGUCCACAAAAAGUCCAUAUGUUCGAUUUUUUGAUGUUUGAUUUUUUCAAUUUUCGUCGCAGUUUUUGUCGAUUUUGGGUACCCGGAACAUUUCUCGAGCAAUAGCUCCGGAACUAUUCGAGAUAACCCCAUGAAGUGUAGCAUCGUUGGAAAGCCCUUUUAAUGAUCUAUCAUUUGCAAAAAAGAUUAUUGUUGUCCGACUUAUAGUUUUCGAGAGAAUGCAAAUAAAAGCGAAAAUUAGAUCAUAUACUCAAAAAUUCAUAACUAAAAAACUAUUAGGAAUUUGGCAAUUUUCUUGAUGCCAAUCGAUUCCCCGGAUCAUUUUGCAUAGGUAUGGAUCAAAAUAGUUCCACUUUUUAGAAUAGUUUAGCCGUAAAUGAGAAAAUAAAAAAAAUAAAAAAAAUUUUACACCCCCCCGUUAGAAAUUUUUAAAAAUUUUUAAAGUGUCUCAAAAUCAAAUGAAACCGAUUCUAUCUUAUAGAUUUUGAUGUGCUCUUUCCGAUCUAAAAAAGCGUUUUCUUCUAGCUUUUUUAAUUUGGGCGUAAUCGGCGUUUGAAAAUUGAAAAUUUUUUUGGCGAGAAAUCGCUUUGAGUCCUAUGCCAUUUUGUAGAGUUUUUUAUUCCGGUUAUUCUCCAUUUUUCCGUUUCUCGAUAACUCUAAUAGUUUCGCCGUAAUUUUUUUUUCACCUCUUUGAAGGUAAGGGUAUUACUCAGGAAAUUUUAGCAAAAAAACUGAAAAUUUUAAAUCUCGUGAAAAGUUGGUAUAACACAGAAAAUGAGCCGCUGAAUUCAAUGGAACAAACCGCAUUGCUCUACGACUUUUAGUUUUCGAGUUAUGAAUUUUUUUGUUGAAUAAAACUUUUCACAAAAAAUUUUAAAUUUUUAAUUUUUGUGAAAAAUUGAUAUAAUAUGUAGAAUGAGCUGUAGAAUUCAAUGGAACAAACCGCAGUGCUCUACAACUUUUAGUUUUUUUUUUUUGAAUUUUUUUAAUGAAAAUCCAAAUCUGCCAGAAUCAGAUCACUACGACUAACCGUUCAGAAGAUAUCGGCAAAAAUAGAGAAAACUUUACAAAUUGAUUCAACUAAAUUUUUAUCAUUGACAAGCAAUUUUUUGGAGUUAUUUUCUUAUGAUUAAGUGUUUCUAACGUAGAAUGACCGGCGGAAUCUAAAUCUGCAAGAAUCGGAUCACUACGACUAACCUUUCAGAAGAUAUCGGGAAAAAUAUAGAAAACUUUACAAAUUGAUUCAACAAAAUUUUCAUCAUUGACAAGCAAUUUUUUGGAGUUAUUUUCUUAUGAUUAAGUGUUUCUAACGUAGAAUGACCGGCGGAAUCUAAAUCUGCAAGAAUCGGAUCACUACGACUAACCUUUCAGAAGAUAUCGGGAAAAAUAUAGAAAACUUUACAAAUUGAUUCAACAAAAUUUUCAUCAUUGACAAGCAAUUUUUUGGAGUUAUUUUCUUAUGAUUAAGUGUAAGAUGAUGAAGAUGAUGGUUGUGGUGUUUCUUGUCGUUUCUCACGUAUGUUUUCGUUUAUAUACUGCAUUCGUUUUGGAUUAACAAUAAACGCACGUGGUACGUUGAUUUUAGAUAAAAUUUGUGAAAAAUUUUUCCAACCAGUCGGUUCAGCAGACAGUCUACUACUACUAGUACCACUUUUCAUAAGGUCAAUGAUUAUAAUUAAUUAUUAGCUUGUAAAGUUUUCGGUAACGAUUUUAGAAAAUUUUUGUUAAGAUGAUCGGCUGCUAUUAACUUAUUAUUUUCAACAUCAACAUUUUCUUUUUCACCUGUUUCAAUCAUUGGUAUUGUUACAGGUUCACGAAAUCGAUUUAUCACUUUUAAAUAUCUUUGAAGAACUUGAUUGUACAACGUCCAUUUCUCGUUGUCGUCAAUGUGUUUCAGUUCUAUAAUUCUUCACAUUUCACGAUCCAAAUCAUUUAUGAUGUUUGGUUGAUUGCUGGUACCACUUUGCAUACGUUCAAAUACACCUGGAUCAACCAUUAUCAUUUUCUUAGCAUGCUCCAUUAUCGUUAUUUACGAAAUAAAUGACCCAAUACACCCGAUAUUAUUGGCGCUAACAAUAACGGUAAGAAGGCACCACCUUUUUGAACAAUCAACUUUUUCUUUUGCUGAACAGACAAUUUUCGAUUAACUAAAUCCCUCAACACUUUUUUAUGUUUUUUUAGUUUACUUUUUUGUACGAUUCAAUGGAACUUUACCCAACAAAGUAUUAUGAGCGCAUUCACAAAUACAAUGAACCAGAUUUUUGUCCGCUGUAUUUAAAAUUGAUUUACGAUAUUCAGGUGUUGUUUUAUGUAAGAAUUUUAAAAGAUCAGCGUUUCUUGCUAACGUUCGCGACAUCUCAAAUACAACUGAGAAAUGAAUAACACGUUUUUUAAAUUUAUACUUUUUUCAUACGUCUCUUAGGUAUAUAUGCAAAAGUAGGUGAUUCAUCGGGUAAAAUGUUUGUACGAAUACGAUAAUCAUCGGACGUAUCCUGUUUUAAAUCGAUUAACAAAUAUCCAUGCGGUUUCAUAGUCGCAUCCUUAUAAGCUUCUUGAAGAAAUUUUGUAUUUUCUGGAAAAAUCUGUCGGGCUAAAAAAUUGACUUGAGCCUUGUCACGGGGGUUUUUGAAAUAUAUAAUGUAGUUUGCAUUCAGUGAAAUGUCUCUCUGUCCUUUGCCUUGGUGGAACAGAUUUUGCGUAAUAUAAAAAACACUAAGAUUUCGAUGAUGGCUACCUUUUGUAAAUAUAUCCACAACACCACCAUUUGUUUCACGCAUUAAAUCAUCCAAAAUUAUUAACGUCGGCUUUAAACCAUCAAAUUCAGUCAUAUCAGGCAUACCUUGACGAUACUCGAUUCUUAAAUUACUAACAAUAUCAUUUUUUUCAUAUAACGGUUGCCAUUCAUCAUAAUACUAUAUCACACGAUCAAAACUUGUAUCACACAUUGAUUUCAAAUGAUUUAAGAACUGCGUUAUAAAAUGUGUUUUUCCACAACCUGAAGGGCAGUGACAAUAGCCGUGAACGGUGCUUUAAAACUAAAAAUGUUUCCGUACUUCAAUGUUUAUAUACAUUACGUAUAUAUAGAAGGUCUUCACGGAUCAAUUUAAGUACAUUUAUUUAUAUUUUUUUUAUUUAAAUUUCGUACCGAUGUUUGAAAAGCAUCCCAAACGAUAUAGCGACAAAAGGAUUAUAGGAUUUGCAGCGACAAUUAGUAACCUAGACAGUCGUCUGUCUGGCUGUUUUGAUGAAAGAAAAGAUGAUUCACCGAACCAUUAGAAAUCUUUCUCUCAAAUUUCAUCCCCUACCAACAUCACCACCACCACCACCACUACCACCUUCAAACCCUUUUUUCCUCAUUUUCAAAGCUGACUUUCGGCGACACAAGUACCUAUACAUUUUUACGUGCCAAGUGUUAAAUUGUGUGACAAAUGUUUGAUGGACAAUGUGUAAUCCUGUACUCCAGAGGGGAGUACCGUCUAACAUUUAGGCGGUUCACCACGUAUAGAGCGUUACAGGAGGAGAAUAUCCUCUGCAAGUGGUGCGCCAGGCUAGAAGAAAAAGUCUGGUACAAACAUAUGCACAUUUAUAAUGUAACACUCAAGUGUACGCGGUGUGAAACACCUAUAUUACCCCGGACACAUAUGGGGUGUCCUAGACGGAUACAUUUAGGGCGGGAAAAGGUACCCUAUAAUUCCCUUUUACGGAAAAUUGUGUUCCCGGAAUCGGACGAUGACCAGUCUGAAGAAGAAAGCGGCGUCGAGGAUGUAGAAUGAUUGUGUGGGCGAUUCUUAAAUAUAUGUUUAUUUUUAAUAACGUUUUUAUUGAACCUCUAAUAACAAGAUAAAGCUGAUGUGUGAUUAAUUUUCCGUUAAUUUGUAACUAAUUUUGAUAUAUUUUAAUUUUUUAUUGAAACCUAGGUGUAAUUCCCCGCUUAGCGACACAUUCAAAUUUACCGCUAAAAAAAAAGUGAUUUCGAAAUUGAACACUAGAUGGCGCAGAGAUCUGUCACAUUUAAAUUUCCCGCUGAAAAACUUAAACACCAGAGGGCGCCGAGAUCUGUCACAUUUAAAUUUCCCGCUAAAAUGUUUGAACACCAGAGGGCGCCAGAAAAAGUUGAUGAUCCAAUUAAUUCGUCAUUAAUUAAUUAUCGAAGGUCAAUUAAAAGAGAAAGUUUGAUAUCAAAUUUCAAUUAAAUUAAUCGGUCGUUAUCAAUUUAAUUGUCAUUAAUUAUCAAUUAAUAUGUCAUUAAUUCACUAAUUAAUUUUUAAAUGGGUCCCCCUUUCUACUUUUGGAGUUCACCAUUUCCGGUUCCGAUGUGGUUGGCUUGGGCGUCGCUGGUAUCGGUGAGGUCAAUUCCGCCGGAGGCGGAAUUCUGAUGAGCGGAACUCUUUUUGGUUUUCGGAUUUUCGUCCGAUCCCCGAUGGCAUCAAAAGUGCGCUUUGUAGGCACAGUUUUGUGAGGGAGUUUUGGCCUGGACCUCACUUUGAAAAUGGUUUGGUUCGUUUUGAGAAAAACGCUUUUUCACGCAAGGUGGAGCGCACAACUAGCACAAGUACAAGUCGCAAAGGGUUGUCGCUAAUCUGAACAGUGAAAUUGGCAUGGUUGGACGUAUUACGGUAAAUAAUGUCCGACUCAGAAACGACCCCCAGCGAUUGUAACAGCCCCCAAAUUCAAGAACUGAACAACUUGCGGCACCUCCUCAAAUUACAACGCGACAGGUACACCCAUCUCCAAAUACUAUACCAAGCUGUGGCCGAUUUUAUAUCCACUGCUGGUGCCUUGAACCCUGAACUUGCAACCAAAGUGGAAAAUAUUUUACAUGAGCAAAGUUGCCAGCAAGUUGAUGUGUUAGACAAUGAAUACACACAGUUACUAGGAUUACGAUCUUCAGGAAACAUGUCAGGCCUGAAGAUAACACGUUGGUGGUGUUGAAGAAAAAACUGGAGGAGCAACAGCAAAAGUAUUUAGAAAAUGAAUUAACUAAAGAGAAGAUUUUGGAAGAUAUUGCUAAACUACGACUGGAAAAAUUACCAAAAGUGUGUGAUGAAAAAAUAAAAGAAUGUCAAAUAAGGGCCCAAGUGGGCGAACUAAGAACGAAACUUGCGUGCGAGACUUCCAGAAUUGACGUAUUUAUGGAGAGAAGCAACUCGUUGAAAGCCUACAAGGAGCUGCUAAAGGAUAUAAAGGAGCAACAACUUGAAUGUGAGAGCGAGAUUAAACACUUGCAAAAGAUGAGGGAGAAGUACAAACAAGUGGCCUGCAAGCAGUUUGAUCAGAUUUUGAAGUCCUACGUGGAAUACAAAGCCGCGCUUUCAAGAAAGGGUGAACUACAGGCCGAGUCUGCUAAAAGUAUAUUUUUACUGUAGUUAAAAAAUAAUCACACAGAACUCACUACUGAGCGUUUGCUACUAAAUUUUUUUUCUAUGUUUUUAUAAUUAUUACUGAAAAAAUAGGUUUUUUAUAAUUUCUAUUAAUAUUCUUAAAGAAACGUUUUUUUGUGCAAAAAAGACCUAAAAAUAAGCUUAUUCGUUGUAUAGCUCACAAUUAAUUUUAAUUUGCGAUUAAUUUGACUUUUGGUCAAUUAAAUGUUAACUUAAUUCGUUAGUCAAUUAAUUUUUAGGGUUCAUUGUGAGCUACAUAAGGAAUAAGCUUUGAAAAAGGUUUAAUAAAAACCGAAACGUCAGCUAAA